rnacentral:rRNA from 1 species
AGGACGAACGCUGGCGGCGUGCCUAACACAUGCAAGUCGAACGGGACCAGGGGCAACUCUGGUUCAGUGGCGGACGGGUGCGUAACACGUGAGGAACAUGACUUUCGGCGGGGGAUAGCCGGCCCAACGGCCGGGUAAUACCGCGUACGACCUCUCGGAGACAUCCCCGGUUGGUGAAAGCAGCAAUGCACCGAAAGAGUGCCUCGCGGCCUAUCAGCUAGUUGGUGAGGUAAUGGCUCACCAAGGCGACGACGGGUAGC